GUGGGCACUUGGAUGUCAACCUUGUUCAUUUAACUCAUGUAAAGCUUAGAUAAUGCCAUGAUAAGGAGUCACUUGAUCAUAUAAUCUUAGAAAAAUUCUUUGCGCAUCGCCCGUGGUAUAAAAUAUCUAGCAUGGAGUGCACCGCUUCAUCCUAUUAGACAUCAUUUUUCAAUACGUAUUUAAUAUCUAUAAUUUUAUUUUUCAAUUUGAAAUUUUGAAUGACAAAAAUAUUUCUCUAUUUUGAUAAAAUAAAAAUUAUGACAUUGUGGAUCAAAAUUAUGACCUCUUAUG
rnacentral:lncRNA from 1 species